rnacentral:rRNA from 1 species
CCAUGCCGCGUGCAGGAAGACUGCCCUAUGGGUUGUAAACUGCUUUUAUAUAGGAAGAAACGUCCCUUCGCGAAAGGGAUUUGACGGUACUAUAAAAAUAAGGACCGGCUAACUCCGUGCCAGCAGCCGCGGUAAUACGGAGGGUCCGAGCGUUAUCCGGAAUCAUUGGGUUUAAAGGGUCCGUAGGCGGGCUUCUAAGUCAAUGGUGAAAUCUUACAGCUCAACUGUAAAAUUGCCNUUGAUACUGGAGGUCUUGAAUUANUGUGAAGUGAUUAAAAGGUGUANGGUACCGGUGAAAUGCAUAAAUUUUACACAAAAUACCAAUUGCAAAGGCAGAUCACUAACACUAUAUUGACCCUGAGGGACAAAAGCGUGGGGAGCGAACAGGAUUAAAUACCCUGGUAGUCCACCCCGUAAACAAUGGAUACUAGCUGUUCAAUUUUCGGAUUGAGUGGCUAAGCGAAAGU